UAACACAUGCAAGUCGAGCGGUAACACAGAGGAGCUUGCUCCUUGGGUGACGAGCGGCGGACGGGUGAGUAAUGCCUGGGGAUCUGCCCGAUAGAGGGGGAUAACUACGGGAAACUGUAGCUAAUACCGCAUAAUGUCUACGGACCAAAGUGGGGGCUCUUCGGACCUCAUGCUAUCGGAUGAACCCAGGUGGGAUUAGCUAGUUGGUGAGGUAAUGGCUCACCAAGGCGACGAUCUCUAACUGGUUUGAGAGAAUGACCAGUCACACUGGAACUGAGACACGGUCCAGACUCCUACGGGAGGCAGCAGUGGGGAAUAUUGCACAAUGGGCGCAAGCCUGAUGCAGCCAUGCCGCGUGUGUGAAGAAGGCCUUCGGGUUGUAAAGCACUUUCAGCGGGGAGGAAGGGUCACUAGUUAAUACCUAGUGGCAUUGACGUUACUCGCAGAAGAAGCACCGGCUAACUCCGUGCCAGCAGCCGCGGGUA
rnacentral:rRNA from 1 species